rnacentral:rRNA from 1 species
GACGUAGGGCGCGAGCGUUGUCCGGAUUUAUUGGGCGUAAAGAGCACGCAGGCGGUUUGGCUAGUCGGAUGUGAAAACCCGAAGCUCAACUUCGGGCCUGCAUCCCGAAACUGCCCGACUAGAGGUAGGUAGGGGAGAUCGGAAUUCCUGGUGUAGCGGUGAAAUGCGCAGAUAUCAGGAGGAACACCGGUGGCGAAGGCGGAUCUCUGGGCCUUACCUGACGCUCAGGUGCGAAAGCUAGGGGAGCGAACGGG